ACACUUUUUGAGGUCUUCCGGGUUGUAACGGGGCUUGGGUUAUGGUGUGGUGAAUACAAAAAAAAAAAAGGAAAGCAAGUAGUUUUGGAUUCAGAGUCAAUGUCAAUAUUUUUUCCACUAUGUUUUUUCAUUUUACUUCUUUUUUUUCUCUUAUUUUUUUCAAUCGCUCGACCUUUGAUAUUCUCUCUUUUUUUCAACUGAGUGAUCUUCCUUCGGUGAGUGUUU
rnacentral:lncRNA from 1 species